UACGUAGGGUGCAAGCGUUGUCCGGAAUUAUUGGGCGUAAAGAGCUCGUAGGCGGUCUGUCGCGUCUGCUGUGAAAACUCAGGGCUUAACCCUGAGCUUGCAGUGGGUACGGGCAGACUAGAGUGCGGUAGGGGAGACUGGAAUUCCUGGUGUAGCGGUGAAAUGCGCGGAUAUCAGGAGGAACGACCGGUGGCGAAGGCGGGUCUCUGGGGACGGUACUGACGCUGAGGCGCGAAAGCGUGGGGAGCAAACAGG
rnacentral:rRNA from 1 species